UAAACUGGCUUCCAUAUUUUCCAGCCUUCAGUAAGCUGGAGUCUUAUUUUUCCGAUUUUCUGAGUGUACCUGAACAUACGUUAGUUCCGCACGGCAGUCAUGGCAACAUAUGGCAGCAGACCGUGGAGAGAGUUGGACAUGAAAACAUUCACAACUUUAUCAACAAGUGUUCAGUGUUUGUUUGAGAUUUAAGGCAACAGCUGUGUGUGCAACAGUGUGCCAGGAUGAGCCGUCACUUCCGCUGCGUGUUUUGAACCCAGAGCACCAAGGCCGAGAAGUGAGAUGUGCAGAUCUCGUUUUUUGAACCCCUUGCAUCAGAGGCGGAUUCAAUUCCUCGUGCGUGUCUGCAAGAAGCUUUCAAAUCAAAGUAGGCCAGUGGAGAAGGAGGAGGAGGAGGGAAAGUCCACUGCCUUCGAGAUUUGAGUUGAGCAACUCCCAGCGUGUGCAAACAACAGUGUGAGCUCCACAUCUGUGCAUGUCACUGUACUUGUUCCAGCAUGAACUGAGUGGCAGAGCAGUUGAAAGGAUAAAAAGAUCAACCUGGAAAUGUUUGAACCACAAGCAUCAAGACCCUUCACCCAACAAGUUUGGACUCUGCGAUCUGAGGCCGACCCUGAUCCUGAUCUGUGACCUCCAAAUACUGAGCGAGAAUGGACGGGUCUUUGAGGUGGUCGAUGGAGCUCAGCAUGUCCAGAGCCAUGUCGCAGAUGUGGUGGGCAUGAAAGGUGGUCUUGUUGGGCACGCCGGCCACCACCAUGUAGGCGUCUCGAAUCGUCUCCACCUGGGCGGAGAGGAAAGUGGGUUUAAGGAGACUCACAGCAGAGAGUUUGUAUGAGAUUUAAUGUUCAGCAGGAAAAUAUGUGCUAGGUGGAAGUUGACAUGAGAAAUAAA